rnacentral:tRNA from 1 species
GCCCCCGUAGCUCAGCGGCAGAGCACUUCUUUGGUAAAGAAGAGGUCAGAGGUUCGAUUCCACUCGGGGGCUCCA